rnacentral:rRNA from 1 species
AUAGCAUAUCAAUAAGCGGAGGAAAAGAAACUAACAAGGAUUCCCCUAGUAACUGCGAGUGAAGCGGGAAAAGCUCAAAUUUAAAAUCUGGCGGUCCUUGGCCGUCCGAGUUGUAAUCUAGAGAAGUGUUACCCGCGCUGGACCGUGUACAAGUCUCCUGGAAUGGAGCGUCAUAGAGGGUGAGAAUCCCGUCUCUGACACGGACUACCAGGGCUUUGUGGUAUGCUCUCAAAGAGUCGAGUUGUUUGGGAAUGCAGCUCAAAAUGGGUGGUAAAUUCCAUCUAAAGCUAAAUAUUGGCGAGAGACCGAUAGCGAACAAGUACCGUGAGGGAAAGAUGAAAAGAACUUUGGAAAGAGAGUUAAACAGUACGUGAAAUUGCUGAAAGGGAAACGCUUGAAGUCAGUCGCGUUGGCCGGGGAUCAGCCUUGCUUUUGCAUGGUGUACUUUCCGGUUGACGGGUCAGCAUCAAUUUUGACCGCUGGAAAAAGGCUUGGGGAAUGUGGCAGCUCCGGCUGUGUUAUAGCCCCUUGUCAUAUACAGCGGUUGGGAUUGAGGAACUCAGCACGCCGCAAGGCCGGGGUCAAACCACGUUCGUGCUUAGGAUGCUGGCAUAAUGGCUUUAAGCGACCCGUCUUGAAACACGGACCAAGGAGUCUAACAUGCCUGCGAGUGUUUGGGUGGAAAACCCGAGCGCGUAAUGAAAGUGAAAGUUGAGAUCCCUGUCGUGGGGAGCAUCGACACCCGGACCAGAACUUUUGGGACGGAUCCGCGGUAGAGCAUGUAUGUUGGGACCCGAAAGAUGGUGAACUAUGCCUGAAUAGGGUGAAGCCAGAGGAAACUCUGGUGGAGGCUCGUAGCGAUUCUGACGUGCAAAUCGAUCGUCAAAUUUGGGUAUAGGGGCGAAAGACUAAUCGAACCAUCUAGUAGCUGGUUCCUGCGAUCUUCUCUCCCGAGGUUUAAAA